AGCAGCCGCGGUAAUUCCAGCGCCAAUAGCGUAUAUUAAAGUUGUUGCAGUUAAAAAGCUCGUAGUUGAAUUUCGGGAUCAAUAUGUCGGUCGUGCUUCGGUACGUACUGGUAUCAUUGGUUUCUCCUUUCUGACGAACCAUGAUGUCAUUAAUUUGGUGUUAUGGGGAGUUAGGACUGUUACUUUGAAAAAAUUAGAGUGUUUAAAGCAGGCUUUAGCUUGAAUACAUUAGCAUGGAAUAAUGAAAUAGGACGUUCGAACCUAUUUUGUUGGUUUCUAGGAUCAACGUAAUGAUUAAUAGGGAUAGUUGGGGGCAUUAGUAUUCAAUUGCCAGAGGUGAAAUUCUUGGAUUUAUUGAAGACUAACUACUGCGAAAGCAUUUGCCAAGGAUGUUUUCAUUAAUCAAGAACGAAAGUUAGGGGAUCGAAGACGAUCAGAUACCGUCGUAGUCUUAACCAUAAACUAUGCCGACUAGGGAUCGGAUGAUGUUAAUUUUUUAAUGACUCA
rnacentral:rRNA from 1 species